rnacentral:tRNA from 2 species
CAGGAGGUAGUUUAAUGUAAAAUCUUGGCUUUGGGAGCCAAGGAUGGGAGUUUAACCCUCUUCUUCCUGA